ensembl:lncRNA
CCGGCGCGGUUGCAGCCAAAUAAGUCCAGCGUGCGGCUCCAGGUGUUGAUUUAUUGCCCCUACAGCUCAGCGCCCCCCCCCAACCCCACUGUUCCUUUCCUUCUGGGGGGGGGGGGGGGACUGCAGCCCUGAGGGACCCCAUAGGGAUGUGGGGGUGCGCCGUGAAACCUCCCCCCUUCCCAUGGGGGUCACUGCGGCGUCACUUCCCAGCACCAUCUCUGCAGCCUUUGGGGUCUCUAUUUGGGAACUGGGGGGGGGCAGGAUGGAUAUGGGGCUUUUCGCACCCCUACAUCCACCCUAAGGUACCACAUACCUUGGGGGUGCACUGAGACCCCAGACCCAAACCUUGGGGAUGCACUUGGACUCCAAACCUACACCCUGGGGGUGCACUUAGACCCCAAACCUAAACACUUGGAUGUACUUCAGACCCCAGACCCAAAAGCCUGGGGUGCACUUGGAACCCCAACCCAUACCCUGGGGGUGAACUCAGACCCCAAGCCUACACCCUGGGGUGCACUUGGACCCCAAACCCAAAUCCUGGGGUGGACUUGAGACCCCAGACUCAAACUUUGGGGGUGCACGCAGACCCCAAACACAACACUUGGACGCACUCAGACCCCAAACCCAAACACUGGGGUGCACUCAGACCCCGGACCCAAACCUUGGGGGGGCGCUCAGACCCCAAGCCUACACCCUGGGCUGCAUUUGGACCCCCAACCCAUACCCUGGGGGUGCACUCAGACCCCAAACCCAAACCUUGGGGGUGCCCUCAGACCCCAAACCCAAACCUUGGGGGUGCCCUCAGACCCCAAACCCACACCACAACGCUUCUCAACAUCCCAAAGUGGGGACCCAGGGGACAUGGGGGUCCCGGUGGGGGGGCAUGCCCCAUCCACUGGGGGUCCUGGGGGGUCUCCCCAUGCCCUUGGGGGGGGGGGGGGUUAUCGGUGCACUGCAUUGGGCAGCUGUGAUGAAGAAGGAUUUCUGUUUGGGAUCCGUUAAUCGGGAAUUUGGUGUCAACAAGAAAAAUCGGAGCUGUCCAGCAUGGCGGCUUCCUGCUUUAUCAUGAUUAUGGGGGGGGGGGAUGGGGAUGGGGAUGGGGGGGGGGGAUUUGGGGACGUGAAGCAAAGAUGGGUUUUAAAUUAAGAUGAGCAGAGGCAACCCCUGGGCUCUGCAGCCCGGGUUGGGGUCGGGGUUGGGGUGCUGUGUUGGGGAUGGGGGGGCUUUGGGGUGGCUUUGGGGGUAUCUCCCAGCAGUGCUUCCCGUGGGGGGGGGGGGUUGGGGAUAAAAGUGGGGCUUCAAAGUAAUGGGUUUGGCCCAAAAUGAAGCUCAGAGCAGAAAUCGCCCCCAUGGGGCCCGAUGGGACCGGGAUGGGGGGGGUAUGGGGUGGGGGGGGGGACAUUGGGGGCUCUGGGGUCCUUCGGCACAGUGGGGACGGGCGGUUGUGGGGCCGUUGGGGCUGCUGGGGCUCCCGCUUGGAUUCUGCUCUAUGUUUUAUCCACGAGGAAAGCAUCCCCAGCCCUAAUGUGUCUGGGCACGAACCGACACGUCCCUGACAAAUUACGAGGCGUAAUUAAUUCGGCCAUUAAUGAAUCAGCAUCUUUACGGUAACAGGGCCAUUAAAUACCCGCAGGACGGACACCUCGAGGGCCGGCGCCGAUCCCACGGCACCAGCAGUGACAGAGACACGGGGGCUGUUGUCAUAUCUGACCGCCUCGCCUUCCCCCCGCGCCGCUGCCAGGACACCAAAUGGCUGCUCAGAUAGCGGAGAGCUUUUGGGCCAUCAAAUGGAAACCAUUGAGUGGAGAGAGGCAGAGGAGCAGAAAGGCUGAAGGGCAGCAGAGCAAACAGACACUGCAAUGGGCAGCAAAAUAAACAGUGUGGGGAACAGAGGUGGAGUGAGAUCAGCUGGGAGAUAGGAGAGAUAAACACAGGGGAGACAGCGGGACGGACAGACGGACAGAUGGGCCGCACUGCGGAGCCGCACAGCGCUGUGGUUGGGGAGGAGGGAAGCGAAGAAGGACGGCGGAGCUAAUUGAAAACGAAGGGGAAAUUUUUAAUCAGGGCGAAUGUAAUUACUGCAGCUGGAGUUGGGCCAGGGCAGCGGGUUAAUGGCCCCGGGGCUUCAAUUCAAUCUUCCCCCUCUCUCGGCCUCUCCUUCCUCCCGCGGAUGGGAAUUGCUGCGAAUCCCCGGAGCGAAACCGUCUCCAUCCCUCCAUCCCUCCAUCCCUCCAUCCCUCCUUCCUCCCCUAUUUCCUUCCUCCUUCCCUCCCUCCCAUCCCCCUUCCCACAUCCCCACAUUCCUCAUCCCUCCAUCCCCCAUUCCCAUAUCCUCCAUCCCCCCAUCCCUCCAUCCUCCAUCCCCACAUCCCC